AGUGAACGCUGGCGGCGUGCUUAACACAUGCAAGUCGAACGAGAACGGAUUAUAGCUUGCUAUAAUUGUCAGCUAAGUGGCGCACGGGUGAGUAAUGUAUAGGUAAUAUGCCUCUUACUAAGGGAUAGCAAAUGGAAACGUUUGCUAAUACCUUAUACUCCUUAUUAACAGAAGUUAAUACGGGAAAGAUUUAUUUGUAAGAGAUUAGCCUGUAUUGUAUCAGUUAGUUGGUGGGGAAAUGGGUUACCAGGACUAUGACACAUACCUGGUUGGAGGGGAUGAGCAGUCACACUGGAGUUGAGACGCGGUCAGGACUCCUGCGGGAGGCAGCAGUGGGGGAUAUUGCACAAUGGACGAAAGGCUGAUGCAGCAACGCCGCGUGGAGGAUGACACAUUUCGGUGCGUAAACUCCUUUUAUAUGAGAAGAUAAUGACGGUAUCAUAUGAAUAAGCACCGGCUAACUCCGUGCCAGCCGCCGCGGUAAUAC
rnacentral:rRNA from 1 species